rnacentral:rRNA from 1 species
UAAGCAAUUAUACAGCGAAACUGCGAAUGGCUCAUUAUAUAAGUUAUCGUUUAUUUGAUAGUACUUUACUACUUGGAUAACCGUGGUAAUUCUAGAGCUAAUACAUGCUAAAAAUCCCGACUUCGGAAGGGAUGUAUUUAUUAGAUUAAAAACCAAUGCCCUUUGGGCUCCUUGGUGAAUCAUGAUAACUUCUCGAAUCGCAUGGCCUUGCGCCGGCGAUGGUUCAUUCAAAUUUCUUCCCUAUCAACUUUCGAUGUUUGGGUAUUGGCCAAACAUGGUCGCAACGGGUAACGGAGGGUUAGGGCUCGACCCCGGAGAAGGAGCCUGAGAAACGGCUACUACAUCCAAGGAAGGCAGCAGGCGCGCAAAUUACCCAAUCCCGACUCGGGGAGGUAGUGACAAUAAAUACUGAUACGAGGCUCUUUUGGGCCUUGUAAUUGGAAUGAGUACAAUUUAAAUCUCUUAACGAGGAACAAUUGGAGGGCAAGUCUGGUGCCAGCAGCCGCGGUAAUUCCAGCUCCAAUAGCGUAUAUUAAAGUUGUUGUGGUUAAAAAGCUCGUAGUUGAACCUUGGGCCUGGCUGGCCGGUCCGCCUCACCGCGUGUACUGGUCCGGCCGGGCCUUUCCCUCUGUGGAACCUCAUGCCCUUCACUGGGUGUGACGGGGAAGCAGGACUUUUACUGUGAAAAAAUUAGAGUGCUCCAAGCAGGCCUAUGCUCGAAUACAUUAGCAUGGAAUAAUGAAAUAGGACGUGCGGUUCUAUUUUGUUGGUUUCUAGGACCGCCGUAAUGAUUAAUAGGGACAGUCGGGGGCAUCAGUAUUCAAUUGUCAGAGGUGAAAUUCUUGGAUUUAUUGAAGACUAACUACUGCGAAAGCAUUUGCCAAGGAUGUUUUCAUUAAUCAGGAACGAAAGUUAGGGGAUCGAAGACGAUCAGAUACCGUCGUAGUCUUAACCAUAAACUAUGCCGACUAGGGAUCGGACGAUGUUAUUUUUUGACUCGUUCGGCACCUUACGAGAAAUCAAAGUGUUUGGGCUCC